rnacentral:rRNA from 1 species
CCUACGGGUGGCUGCAGUGAGGAAUAUUGGUCAAUGGCCGGAAGGCUGAACCAGCCAAGCCGCGUGAAGGACGGAGGUGCCAAGCAUUGUAAACUUCUUUUGUCAAGGGACAAAAUCAGGCUCGAGUGCCUGACCGAGGGUACUUGACGAAAAAGCUUCGGCUAACUCCGUGCCAGCAGCCGUGGUAAUACGGAGGCUGAGAGCGUUAUCCGGAUUUAUUGGGUUACAGGGGUGUGUAGGCGGGCUGUUAAGUCAGCGGUAAAAGCCCGGGGCUCAACCCCGGCGAGCCGUUGAAACUGGGUGUCUUGAGAUGUCGAGGGGUAUGCGGAAUGCGCGGUGUAGCAGUGAAAUGCUUAGAUAUUGCGCAGAACACCGGUGGCGAAGGCAGCAUACCGGAGGCGAUCUGACGCUGAGGCACGAAGGCGUGGGUAUCGAAAGGGAUUAGAUACCCGGGUAGUC